AUUGAACGCUGGCGGCAGGCCUAACACAUGCAAGUCGAGCGGAUGAAGGGAGCUUGCUCCUGGAUUCAGCGGCGGACGGGUGAGUAAUGCCUAGGAAUCUGCCUGGCAGUGGGGGAUAACGUCCGGAAACGGGCGCUAAUACCGCAUACGUCCUGAGGGAGAAAGUGGGGGAUCUUCGGACCUCACGCUAUCAGAUGAGCCUAGGUCGGAUUAGCUAGUUGGUGGGGUAAAGGCCUACCAAGGCGACGAUCCGUAACUGGUCUGAGAGGAUGAUCAGUCACACUGGAACUGAGACACGGUCCAGACUCCUACGGGAGGCAGCAGUGGGGAAUAUUGGACAAUGGGCGAAAGCCUGAUCCAGCCAUGCCGCGUGUGUGACGAAGGUCUUCGGAGUGUAAAGCACUUUAAGUUGGGAGGAAGGGCAGUAAGUUAAUACCUUGCUGUUUUGACGUUACCAACAGAAUAAGCACCGGCUAACUACGUG
rnacentral:rRNA from 1 species